rnacentral:lncRNA from 1 species
CUGUAAAUAAUUUUCAAUAAUUUAAUGUUUUAAAAUUCAAAUUUAAUUUAAUAAAUGUAGUUGAGAUAUACCUAAUGGAUAUAUAUAUCUACACUAUAUAUAAAAAUUGUAUAAAAAUUUUGCAAUUACAGACGAAAUUAAAAAAGAAAUAAAAAAAAAUACUCUUUACGAACAGUUAUGAUUAAUUUGUUAAAAAAUAUCUUAAAUAAGAACGUUAUGAUUAAUCUAUUAAAAAAUAAUAUUUUUAUUGGUUUAUAAAUCUAAUCCUAAAAACGGUUAUGAUUAAUUUGUUAAAAAAUAUCUCAAAUAAAAAUAAAUAUUUAUGAAUUAUGAUCAAUCUAUUAAAAAAAAAGUAUUCCUAUCCAUCUAUUUUAUAUUAAAAAUUAAAAUUUGAGUUUAAAUCAUGAAUUAAACUUAAUUUUUGGUAUAAAAUUUGAAUUAAUAACUAAAAUUUUUUAAUUAUAGUGGAUCAGAAUUAAAUUUAAUAAAUUUAAAUUAAUAAAUUU